rnacentral:snRNA from 1 species
CCACUCUAGGCCUCAGGUGCCUCCUCUAUAAACUAAAGGGGUUUAGCUUAUCCAUUGCACCCUGAUGCGCUGACCCCUGCAGUUUUCCCACAUGUGGGGAAACUAGAUUGCAUAAUUUGCAGUAGUGGCAGACUGUGAUCCCACUUUCCCU